CAGUAGAUGAUGGCUCUUUGCUUGCGCACAACUUCUACCUGGCAUACCUCUUCAGUCUUGUGUCAAUGCUUCGUAUUGCAUUGAAUGCACGGUGGGUUUCUUGUGUUGCAUGCCUAAUUUAAUGGUAUUGCUUGAUGUAUUGGUUUUCCUUUCGUUUUGCAUUGCCUAUGCGAUGUGAGAUGAACCUUGAAGCAGCCUUUGUGAUCCAUUGAUUUGAUGUAUACGCAUUGAUUUUGUGGCCCAUUGAGUGUUGCUCGGUGUCAUGGAUAUGGAACCUGGUGUGGGCAUGGAAUCUUAAUGGUUCCUUGUUUGCCCAAGUUUAGCUUUUCUAAAACGAUUGUCUAUCAUGUGUUAACAUGCUAGACUACUUCGAAUAUGAAUG
rnacentral:misc_RNA from 1 species